rnacentral:rRNA from 1 species
CCGUAACACAGGUGCCGCAUGGCUGUCGUCAGCUCGUGUCGUGAGAUGUUGGGUUAAGUCCCGCAACGAGCGCAACCCUUGUCAUUAGUUGCUACAUUCAGUUGGGCACUCUAAUGAGACUGCCGGUGACAAGCCGGAGGAAGGUGGGGAUGACGUCAAGUCCUCAUGGCCCUUAUAGGUGGGGCUACACACGUCAUACAAUGGCUGGUACAAAGGGUUGCCAACCCGCGAGGGGGAGCUAAUCCCACAAAGCCAGUCGUAGUCCGGAUCGUAGUCUGCAACUCGACUACGUGAAGUCGGAAUCGCUAGUAAUCGUGGAUCAGAAUGUCACGGUGAAUACGUUCCCGGGUCUU